UUUUUUUUUUUUAACCCAGGUGAGAUUUUUUUCCAGCAGCCCAUCAGUGUGACCCUGGGCCUCAGCCUUGCUCCCCAGCAUCCGAGGGGCACCACACCGAGCCCCCCCUGGCACAAGCAGGCACAACACCCAUGGUGCUGCCACCACAAGCUGGGAGCAGGGGUUACCCUUUCCCCUUUAUCCCUCCCCUUUCCCAAUUUUUUCCCCUAUUUCCCCCACAAUCUACCCCUUUUCCUCCCGCAUUUCCCCAUUUUUUCCCCUUUUCCCUUUCUUUUCCCCCCAAAUCACAAGCACCUGGGCUCUGCCUCCACCACCUCCCUCCCCAGGUGCCGCUGCUUUGCCCUCCCCACCCCACUCCUCUAUUUCCCCCCGGUGAAGGCAGGCAGCCCCCAGCUGCCCCUGCCUGGGCUGGAGGGAUGCUUGGUGGUCCCUGAGGGAUGCUCGUCCUGGCCCCAGGGAACUUUUUCAUGGGAAAGCAGGAAAACCACGGCAGAUGGAUGUGGCUCUUCUUGCCUUGAUCGAAUGGCCUUUGCAAAAAACGCUGGGUCCUGAGGUUUUGGUGGCAAGUAGCUGGGUGGGUUUUAGUUGGUUUCAGCUCUUUGUUCAUCCCGUUUUGUUCCAUAAAUGCAUGUUAAAGAAAGGAGUGCUGCUGGAGGAGCAGCUGAAACGAACAAAGGCUGUGCCUGGGGGAAUCUAAGCCCCAAUGCAAAGAUUACCCUGGUAACUUCUGAGCCCUGGAUAUCUGAGCAGGAUGGCAUCCUGGGGGAGACCUUACGGGAUCCUCCAUACAAAUACCAAAGGCAAACCCCUUCUCCAUGAGCCGGUCGUCAUCUUCAGAGCUGGCCUGAGAUCCUGCCUGGGCUGCAGGCUGGGAGGUUCGGGAGCUGCUGAGGCCAGGUCCAGCUGAAGUUACACCACUGAAAACCGGUGAAGUCAACAGGAAUAACAUCUAACUUCCCAUGUUUGGGCUGAUGGAAAAUUUUCCCUUGCUGUCUUCGAGUUUGUGUUUGUGCUUUGUGUUCCUUGCCUCCAGUGAUGGAAGCCCUUUGGUUCAGACACAAAAGAACAAACUGACACGAGUUACUUUGAAGGGACCGAGAGGUGCUCCAAGUAUUGUGUCACUGCAAUGGGGAGAAAGCACGACUUACUGAAACGAACCAGAAAUAGCUCUUUUGUCGCUGUGCUGAUUGAUGGAGGAAAAGCAAUGCAAAACUUGCUGCUUGUCACAAUUUGCAACCACGAUAUGAGAGGAAAGCUUGGGGAAGCGGGGACACUGCCAACAAGCAAAGGACACCAGCCAUGCUGCCCACAUCGCCCCACUUUACUUAAAUGGCUUUCAUGCAGGUGCUUGGAUCAGAUAAACACCACAGACAAGCUUGGAUCAGAUAAAAGAUCACAGCCAAAUGGCAGAUCUUUAAGGCAAAAGGGGUCAGGGUGGAGGUGGCUGCUCUCAUGCCCCGGUGUUGUUGCACUUGGCAGCGAGUGGCACGGAUACAAAGGCGAUCACUCACCUUUUGGGCUGAUCCUUUUCAAAUUCCUUAUGGCCAGGUGAGUGAGGCUGGGAUGGACAACUGCCAUGGGCUGGAUGGACAGACAGAUGCUCUGCCAUGGCUUCAGCAGUGCCGCAGGAUGGUGACAGACAGCACGGAGCAGCAGGGCCGAGAAAAAGCAGCGCACGCUCAAGGGAGACACAAUAAAACCCUCUCACGCUAGAAAAGAGCUGGCACUUUAUUAACAUUUUGUAACUAAUAAAUACAUUACCGACAGCCAAUAAAUUAUUACAAUCGCUAA